rnacentral:rRNA from 1 species
GCACAACUCCAAACGGUGGAUCACUCGGUUCUCGGGUCGAUGAAGGACGCAGCUAGCUGCGUUAAGUGGUGUGAAUUGCAGGACACUUUGAGCACUGAAGUUCCGAAUGGACAUUCCGGGCUCGAGAGUAACGUCUGGGGCCCGUGUCCGUCCGAGGGCCGGCUU